GAUGAACGCUAGCGGCAGGCCUAACACAUGCAAGUCGAGGGAGAAGCCUUUCGGGGCAGAAACCGGCGCACGGGUGCGUAACGCGUAUGCAACCUACCUUUCACAGGGGGAUAGCCCGAAGAAAUUUGGAUUAAUACCCCAUAAUAUUGUUGGAUGGCAUCAUUUGGCAAUUAAAACUGCGGUGGUGAAAGAUGGGCAUGCGUCCUAUUAGCUAGUUGGAGUGGUAACGGCACCCCAAGGCUACGAUAGGUAGGGGUCCUGAGAGGGAGAUCCCCCACACUGGUACUGAGACAGGGACCAGACUCCUACGGGAGGCAGCAGUGAGGAAUAUUGGUCAAUGGUCGGAAGACUGAACCAGCCAUGCCGCGUGCAGGAAGAAUGCCUUAUGGGUUGUAAACUGCUUUUAUAUGGGAAGAAUAAGGUGUACGUGUACAUUGAUGAA
rnacentral:rRNA from 1 species